GUGCUUUACUGUUCAGAUACAUAAAGGAGUUAUUUAGAAGUGAUCCUAGCUCUCUCCUUAGCAUUAGCUUGCAGGUCUGAAUGACAGAGAAAAGAGCCUCCCUGAGAAGCUGACAGUUCAAGGAUGCAAAGGAAAAAAUUGCAAGGACACACAUGGAAAACUUGAGUUAUGCUCAAGUAAAUUUGAUUCACUGUAAAUGUCACUGCAGAUAAAGCUUGUCAAGAAGGGUGCAAGCGUAGACAGGACUUGGAGGGUGAGCUCUCUGCUGGCAGGAUGCAUCCUUAGAAGAAAUCUAUUGUGAAGACUUCAGUUGAUAUUCAUUUUUUAGAUCAGCUAGUGACCUGAUGCCCACAUGGACAGGUCAUGUGGAUUUCUUACAGGGCAGGAAGUUGGAAGCUGAGCAACCUGCUUGGAGCAUGAAUUUCAUCCGUAAGAUCAUGGACAGCAUAUGCAAGUGUUGAUACUUCUGUUCUCUCUCCAUCUUUUGGCGUGAUCGGCACUGCCUCUUCCAGGCAGCUCCUAGAAACAACUCACAGUCACUGAUGAAGUGGGAGCAUCCAGACCAAUGUCCAGCUCUAGAGAACCCUGGAAAAUGGGAGAACCUUGACAUACUGUCUGCUUGGAUGUCAGAGACAAAAGAAACAGCUGGGACCAAGUUAGGAACUGUGAUUAUAAAUCUCAGCAUCCAGCAGCAAGAAUCAGAUUUGAAUGGAUGUUUGGAUAAAGAAUGAAGAGAUGAACAGGACCAGAAAGUCGAAGAAUAUUGUUUGAGGUACGUCUCUUAUAUGUUGUAAUUUAGGGAUCAAUCUCACUAUCUCACUAUUACUGUUGUUACUGAGAAGAAAAACAACAACAGAAGAAAACCUAACUCUGGAGAUUCUAAUGAUAUUUUAUGGAGAACUGAGGGGCUCCUCAGGAAAAUUUUAAAAAAAAUAAUAAAAAAAAUUAAAAAAAUAAAUAAAAAAUAAAA
rnacentral:lncRNA from 1 species